rnacentral:lncRNA from 1 species
CGGUUUCUCUCGGGUCAACUCGCUCUGAGUUUUCAGCUGAUCCCUUCGCCACACUAUCACAGCUCCCGUUGCACGAAGCUUCUCCCCCAGGCUUCACGCUCUGCACCUCUUUCCCCGUUUCACCUCCAUCCGGUUCGACAGGUUCCGGUUCAACUUUCGCUUCGUCUGGUCCGGUUCCCGGGGAUUCCUCUUUCGGAUCUGUAGAGUUCGACUCGUUUACCGAAUGGUUCUCCCGCUCGGACUCUUCCCUGCCAUUAACGGGCCGUCGGGUAAUGUUCUCCGUUUCGUUUUCUUCCUUUUUUUCACUUCCCUUUUCUCGCUCCAGAUCCGAUUUUUCAGUUUCCUUUCCGUUCUCUGUCAAGCUCUGUUCUCUCUCUUCUUUUAAUUUCUGCACCUUCAUUUGUAAGGACCUGUAAAGUAACAGAAAAAUGUUAUCGAUUUUUGCCCCCCACCCCAAAAGAAGUAAUUUAAUAUUUUUAUAAAAAAUGAUUUAGUAAUAAUUUACACGAUGGAGAGAUCAUAUUGUUGAACUUCGCGGCGUAGUUCGGCGACGCGGAGUCUCCGGAGCUCAUCAAGCCAAGGAACGGUGCUGGUGGAGAUGUUGUUAUUAGUAGUUUCGCCGUCGUCGCCGUUUUCAGCGAAACGGCGUUUAAGGUCUUGAAACUUCUGUUGACAAGAAAGGGGAGUAAAGAAGAGAUGUUGGAACGUAGAAGUUCGCUUCUGUAGUUCCAUAGCAACGGAGUCCCAACUGUUGUUACCGUAACGAUGAACGGCGCAGGCGAGUAAAAGCUCCUCCCAGGUACCCCAUGUUUGUUUCUCGGGAAAGCUGUGGUGUUUAGCCAUGAAAUAAAUGAAAAGAAGAGAAGGAAAAGAUAUUAAUAGUACCGGUCACGGUUCAAUAAUAAGUCUCUUUUUGCGAAUAAGUAAGUACCUUUUUAUUCAAAUAAAUUUUUCUAUUUAUGAUUCGUUUGUACGGUAGAAUUUUUAAGGGAAUAGCUAGGCUGCUUCAAUUUCAUUUCCAUUGUAGGUUAAAAUCAUCUUCAAAUAUCUUCCUCGUAUAUUUUUAUAAUUUAAAUCUAAAUGAAUGGAGUUGGAGCAUAUUUGUUAUUAUUUAUUAUUUUGAAGUAGGAGGGGUGGCAUGAAUUUAGAAGGUAAUCAGGAAAUUGAAAGAAUGGGAAAGGGAGCCCUAGGAUGCCGAACCAGAAGGAACAGGCCUAAGGUUAUUGGGCUGAUUGAUGGAGGGUGAGGCGGACCAAGUUAGCAACAUUUAGUAGCGGGCUGAUUCCUACAGCAAGCCCAAGGGACUGAUUUAAUGACUGGAUUGCUGAUGACUCAUUUUCCUCUCAUGCUAGCUGUUAAAAAAGUGAAGUAUGUUACAACAGAAUUUCUAUUAUAUUCUCAAGGCAUGGAAUGAAAUCAGUAGUUUCCCUUUCUCUCAAUCUCCUUCUACUUCUUUCUUUUUCUUUUCUUAAUAUUUAUUAUUUAUAUUUAUAAUUGAAUAACUUUUAUAUUUUUUAUUAAAUUUCUUAACUUAAUAUUCAUAUUAUAAAUUAUUUAUUUCAAAACUCUAAAAUAUUAUAUUAAGCCUAAAGCAACUAAUACCCAAAAUAGACUAUAUAGUCUAAAAUAAAAAUAAGUUAAAUCAAUACUAAAGACAAGUUGUAAAAGUUAAAAUCCAAUUCAAAAUUUAAUUUAAUAAAAAUAAUAUUUUACUAAUGUAUUAAUUUUUUAAUAGUAUUUUAUGUACUUUAUUAUAAUCUUAAUAUAAUAAUAUUUUUUUUAACAAUCUUUUCUAUAAGUUUUGGUCAUAUCUGCUCUUCUUGAUACAAUGCCUAGAACUACUUAUAGUCCUCCCCAACCCAUAAAUAGGAAGAUAAUACGCUUCAACACACUCGAACCCAUGUCCUCUUACAUUCGCAACCCAAAUAGAACUUACAUGCAAACGACCGAACUUUUAAAGCGUUCAAACAUGGCUUCCAAACUUCUCUUUUCAAUGUUUCGGUGAAAAGAUGAAAGUGACGAAGAAUAUCACUUUGUUUUUGUUGUAUUAUUCUUUAAUCAUUUACAUUAAUUAAAUUAUAACAUAUAUUAUAAUAUAAACAAAUGACUAACAUGCCAUUAACAUAAUUAUGGCUAAAUUUCCAUAUAAAACCAUCCAAUUAUACUUUUAUACUUAAUUAGCACUUAUAAACUAAUAAUAUUUGACUUUUGUAGUUUUUACGAUUUAAUCUUUUUUCCUUAAUUAACAAUCAAUUCAUCAAAAAAUUUGGACCAAACUUCAAUUCACCUAUAUAACAUCUCUAUAAGUAUUUAAUAAAAAUAUUCACGGGAUCAAUAUAUAGAAACGAGGUCUCGAUCCUCAUUUUCAAAAACUAUUUAACUUUUGGUAUGCACCACUUAUAUCUUGAUUAACUGACCAAUUAUUAAAGUAUAUUAAAUCAAGAUUCACUGUUGUACUAUAUUUAACUCAUAAAUAUUAAUUAAAUAUAUCUACAAUCUCUCUCAUCAAAAUUAUUGUUUUCGAUACCACUGAAAAACGGGCUAUUACAAUCCUCCUAUUUAUGAGUCGGGGAAGGGCUAUAGGCAGUUCUAGGUAUUAUGUAAAAAAAAAAAGAGCGGAUGUGAUCAAAUCUUAUAAUGAUAUUGUUCAAAAAAAAUAUUAAAUAUUAUUGUUUAUUAUUAUCUUGGUUGAUUUAUACUUUAAGUCUCUAUACUCUUCGUACAUUUGAAAAUUAGCACUUCUACUAUAUUAUAUACUGCUAUCUUAUAUCAUAGAAUAUAUAAUACAUUAAAAGUUUAUAUAUAUGCAUUAAUGAAUAAACAUUUGUUACCAAAAAAAGAAAUAAACAUUAUAAUAUUAUGUAAUACUAUCUUUUAUUAUAAUUUAUAACAUAAUAAUAGUUAUAUAUGUGUAUUGAUAGUUUUAGUCAUAGUUAUACACUAUAUUAUUAUAUUAUGUAAUAGUAUAUCAUUUAUUAUAGUUAGCGGUUAAAACCAACCUAACUGACAAAAUUGAGUCAAUUCAAGCGAAUCAGUUUGUAAAUUCAGUUUUCAUUUUGGACCAAUUAACAGUUAUAUAUGCAUUAAUAAUUUUAAAAUAUAUUAUUAUAUUAUGUAAUACUAUAUCCCAUAUUGUAAUAGUAAUACAUAAUAUACUAAUUAUUAAAUCCUAUUUAUUAUAUUGGUUGAAAUAUGUUCUAAGUAUUUAUACUUUUCAUACAUUUGAAAGUUAACCUUCCUAAUAUACAAUACUAUUGCAUAGCAUAUAAUAUAUAAUAUAUUAAUAGUUUAUAUAUAUGCAUUAAUGAUUAAAACAUUAUAAUAUUAUGGGUAACUGAGCCAUAAACUAUAUCUUAGAUUGCAUUUUAGCCCCUCUACUGAAAAUUUGGGCAAAUUAGCCCUAGUACAUAGGGGUGUGCAAAUUUCGGGUAAAAUUGAAUUAAUUCAGGUAAAAUUGAAUUAAUUCGGGUAACAGACCAAAUUCAGUUAAUCGGUCGGUUAACCAAAUUAAUUCAGUCGGGGUCGGUUAAUAAUUUUUUAGAAGUUCAGUUAACGGUUAAUUAGGUUCGAAAUCGGUUAAUUAAUCGAAUUAACCGAAAAUUUAUAUUUUUUAUAUACAUUUUACAUAUAUUAAAUUCGGCUAAUUUGGUUAAUUCAGUUAUUUUUUAUAUGUUUUAUAUUUGUUUUAACAAAAAAACAAAAAACAUAUAAAUUUCGGUUAAUUCGGUUAACCGACCGAAUUAACCAAAAAAAUUUGGGUUGGUUAACCGAUUGAACACCCCUGCUAGUACAUUAGAUGAGUAAAAGCAAAACAUCCCAUUUGUUAAAAUUUAGUGUUUAUAUAUAAGGUAUAAUAACAAGUUUAGCCCUUAAUCUUUACACAUUUAUUCAAUUUGACCCCUAAUAUUUUAUUGGAAGUAAAUUAGAAUUUUUUUGAACUAAUAAGGCUAAUAGGUCAAAGAACCCUUAUUAACAAAUUCAAAAAAAAUCAAUUAAGCCUUUUAAAUUUUAAUAAUUAUUUAAAAAAUCAUAAAAAUAACUGUAAAAAAAUUUAUAAAAAGGUUAUAAAUUUUUUUAUUAAAAAUAACAAUACCAGCCCAUUAAAAUUUAAUGGUUAUAAGAAUUAAAAAAAUUUUGACCCCUACUCUUAUUUGGUUGGUAUUGCUAUUUUUUAAUAAAAUAUUAUAAUUUUUAAGAGAAGGGUAAGAAUUUGAGUAAUUAUAUAAGUAAUUACACUCGAUUUUUUUGUACACGUUUAAGUUAUAAAUUUUUAUAUUAUAAGCAUGAACAUAGAUGAGUGUUUGGGAUGAUUAUGGUAAAAAAUUAUAUUAUAAAAAUAAUUUAUGUGUAUUUUAUAAAGUUAUAACCAAAAAUUAUAUUAUGUUAAGUCCUAAUCUUUUUUAAGUUGUGGCCAAAAAAAUUAUUAUAAAAAAUAAUUUAAGCUAUAAUAUAUUUAUUUAUAAAAAGUUAUGGCCAAGAAGUAUGGAUAUAACUUAUUUAUGUGUUCAUGCUAUAUAUUAUAAAAAUAGUAUGCUUAUAAGAAAAAAAAGUGUUUAUUUUUUAACACAAUUUAUUCAUAAAAAAUAAUUUUCUAAAGUUAUGAUAAAAAAAACUAUAUGAUUUAUGAAAGUUAUUAGAAAUUUUAUAAAACAUUUUUUAAAAGGUUAUAUAUUAUAAUUUUAUAUUAUUUUUUACUUAAUUUACAUAUUAUUAGAAGGAUUAUAACUUAGCAUAAUUCUUUCUCUAAAUUAAGUUUAUAUAAGUUUUUAUCGAAACAAAAGAGCUAGAAGAAACAUACUACCAGUCAAAUCUAUUUUGAUAGUUUAUCUUGAGUGAGGCAAACUUGUGAACUAGUUUUAACAAAUGGUAAACAUAGAAAAACUAUGUUAAAAGAAAUGGAGAAUGAAGGAAAAUAAAGCGAGAAGCAGAAUAGAAUGAAAAAUAAAGGGAAAAAAGGAAAGUAAAAAGAACAUAAAAGAAAUAAAAUUAAAUUGCUUAAAACGAAAAAAUAUGAAAUCGAUUGUAUAAAUUAACCUAAAAUUUUUGUUUGAAAUGAUGAUUUAACAUACCAUGUCAACUUACUGUUACACGGAAAUUAAUGGCUCAGUGACUAAAAUAUUACAAUGCGAUAAUGUAAGUGACUAAAACGUAACAUUUCAAAUAUAAGUGACUAAAAAUGUAAACUGGGGUAAACAGAAGUGACUACUUUAGUAGUUUACCCUUAUUUUAAUUAAGUUUGCCAGUGGUUUUGUUUCAUCGCUUCUUACAACAAAUAGUUUUCUCCUAACAAAAAAAGAACAUAGUUUUCUCGGUACAUUUUAUUGAGAACAAUAUUGAUCUCCUAACUAUUACAGAUUUCUCCUGACAGUAUCAGAUGAGAUGGCGAGGACCCAAGCAUCUCUUACCGAAGGGGCCUUGGUUUCCAUGCAGCUAAGAAAUCCUUUAGUCGUGGUGAUCCUGCUCCAAUACUAGGAAGAGGCCGAGGUUCAAUGAAGGGCCAAUCAAGAAAAGAACUUUUUCCUUCACAGAAUGGAACCGAAAAGAAACUUCCGAAUGAGAUUGAAUUACUUUACACAAAGAUGCUAGUAAAUAAGAAAUCCUUUAGUCGUGGUGAUCCUGCUCCAAUACUAGGAAGAGGCCGAGGUUCAAUGUGAUAGAAUAUAAUGACCGUUAGUCUGUUAGGUAGUUAGUAGUUAUUCUGUUAAAGAAGCUAACAGCUUAACAGCUACUGCUAUAAAUACUGUAUCAAGUCUAUUCUAAAAAAUGACAAAAAAAAUAAAUGUAUAUGCUUUGUUUAAUCUACAAGCUAUACUUUAACAUGGUAUCAGAGGUUUCUUUUUUCCUGGCCUUCGUGGGUUAAGUUUGUUUUUCUGUUGUUUCUGUUGCAUGGACCUGUCGUCGAGUCCUUCUGUCGUUCAUUCUGCUGCUCCGCAGAUGGCGUCCACUCUUGCGAACAGUGUUCUUGAUAGCAAGUUUUUCUCUACCAAGAAAGUGAGUAUCCUCCUUGAUGAUUCCAACUAUCUCUUGUGGAAGCAACAAGUGCUGUUAGCAGUUAAAACUCACAAACUGCAGCAGUUUCUUGAUAUCAACACAAAGUCGCCUCCUUCGAUGGUUACAGAUGAUGAAGGAGUACUGCAAGAAAAUCUCGAAUUUGUGAAGUUCGAGCAACAAGAUAGUGCACUUGCCUCAUGGCUUCUGACUUCGGUAAGUCCUGACGUUCUUCCUCAUCUUAUUAGACUCGAUACUAGUUCUCAGAUUUGGAACUCUAUUGUCAAUCUGUAUGGUAGCAAAACUACCUCUCGACUGAUGUUUUAUCGUCGAGCACUUCACUCUCAACGAAAAGGAGAUAUGCCUAUGAAAGAGUUUCUUUUGAAAAUAAAGUCCUAUUAUGACAAUUUAGCCAGCUGUGGAGAGGCCAUUAGUGCCCAUGAACAUAUCACAGCCAUCCUCAAUGGGCUGUCGUUUGAGUAUGAACCUAUUGUGUCUAUCAUUCUUGCUGGUCAACAUGCCUACACAGUGCAGAGUGUCAUGACAAUGCUGCUAGAUGCAGAAGCAAGGCAACAAACUAUAUUGACCGACACUCCCAGCUCUGCCAAUUUGGUGUCUCAACAGCCUGCACAGACCAACACUGAUACGUCUGUGCCAUCAUAUUGUGGGUCCAACACUAGGGGUCGUGGACGUGGACGAUCAUCUGGAGCUCGCGUGCAAUGCCAGCUAUGUGGAAAAACUGGACAUUUGGUUGAUCGAUGUUAUCGUCGAUUUGAUGCCUCUUACAAAAGCACCAACUACAGGCCCCCUCCACAAACUAAUGUCUGCAUGCUUACACCUAGUGCUUCUUCAUGGACACUAUGUUCACUGCCAUCUAUGGUUCAGACUGUUUCCAACUGGCCUCCCCAGUCACAAUCUUCGACGACCUGGGCUAACCCAUUCAUGAAUCUUCCCAAUCAACAUGUCGUUCCACCACCAUCAGAAGUUUCUCCUCCACAAGCACUAAUAGCCUCGCCUGACACUGUAGGGGAUCCUGCUUGGUAUCCUGACUCCGGAGCCACACAUCAUCUUACUCACACAGUAACAUCAGCUGGUGAAAAUCUGUCGCACAACGGACCAGGUAUGGUGUAUGUUGGAAAUGGUAGCACUCUUCCUGUUGUUUGCUCUGGUUAGUCUUCUUUACUCACUAAGGCUCGACCACUUCAUUUGAAGUCCAUUUUAUAUACUCCAGGUGUUACUAAAAAUUUGCUGUCUGUGUCUAAGUUCACCAGAGACAACCAGGUGAUGUUUGAGUUCCUACCAUCACAGUGUCAGGUACGUGAUCUCAAGACCAGGGAAGUGCUUCUUCGAGGAUCAGUCCAACAUGGUUUCUACAAGCUCCAGUUGAAUUCUGUCACCCGCAAGCCUCCACCAGUGCAUCCCGCCCACUGUUUUACAGCUAGAAGCACUACCCCUCUUAAUGUGUGGCAUUCUAGACUAGGGCAUCCUUGUAAAAAUGUGUUGCUCAAAGUUUUACAGAGUUAUAAUCUGUCAUUUGAUGUGAAUAAAGAAGAAGUUGCCUGUGUUGCCUGUCAUCUUGGCAAGGAGCACAAACAAUCGUUCUCUACGUCGACAUCUCAGUAUUCUGUGCCAUUGCAGUUAGUUGUUGCCGAUGUUUGGAGGCCAGCCCCAGUUCUCUCAAAUGGCUUCCGAUAUUACGUGAUGUUUACUGAUGCAUGCACCCGGUAUUCAUGGGUUUAUUUCCUGCACAAAAAGUCUGAGGUUUUGUCUGUGUUAUCUCAAUUCCACAAACAAGUUGAGCGCACUCUUGGAGUUCAACUAAAAAUGCUGCAAACGGAUGGCGGGGGUGAAUUUCAGUGUCUAAGGUCGUAUCUUAUUCAGCAUGGAAUCGCUCAUAGGUUUACCUGCCCGUAUACCUCAGCUCAAAAUGGUAUUGUUGAACGCAAACAUCGGCAAGUGGUUGAAACUGGUCUCGCCAUGCUUGCCCAUGCAUCUAUGCCUCUGACUUACUGGAGUGAUGCAUUUAGCUGUGCCAUUUAUCUUAUUAAUAGACUCCCCUCUGCCCCUCUAAACUUUGUCUCACCACAUGAAAAACUUCAUCACACCAAGCCUAAUUACAGUUCCCUUAAGAUUUUUGGGUGUCUAUGUUUCCCUAACCUAAGACCAUACAAUGCUCACAAACUACAAUUCCGUUCCACCCCCUGUACCUUUAUCGGUUACUCAUUCACUCACAAAGGAUAUCGGUGCCAAGAUAGCACUGGGAGGAUAUAUAUCACCCGACAUGUCACCUUUCAUGAAAGUCAAUUUCCCUUUAAGACUGUCCAUACAAACACUACCUCAUGCAACAAACCAGUGUCAACCAGCUCCAAACUUCUAAUUCUAAGAUCCAACCCUUACCAAUCAGCUCUCUCUCCGUCACUUGCUAGGUCCACAUUACCUACUCUCACACCUUCCCCUAUGUCAACCAAUUCUUUACCUGCCCAGUCCACAAUACAACCCCCUUCUCCUACACCUUCCCAUAAUUCCCCAGAGUCAAACAUUCCAACAAGUUCUCCACAUUUGUACCCUGUACCACAAAACACCCAUCCAAUGCUUACUCGCAGCAAAGAUGGCAUAUUCAAACCCAAGGCUUAUCUAACCAGUGUAGGUGAAAGUGACGCUUCUGCAAUUCCCACUAGCAUCCAUGAAGCCAUGGCACACUCUUACUGGCGUGAUGCAGUUCAAGCCGAGCUGGAAGCUCUAGCUCGCAACAACACCUGGAGUCUCUGUCCGUUACCGCUACAUCGUCGCACAGUUGGAUGUAAGUGGUUAUUUAAAAUAAAAAAGAAGGCUAAUGGCACCGUUGAUCGGUAUACGGCUCGUCUGGUUGCCAAAGGUUACUCUCAGCAUGCAGGGACAGACUUUCGAGACACAUUCAGCCCAGUCAUUCGAGCAGUAACCAUCAGAACGGUUCUUGCUGUAGCCACCAUGAAGAGAUGGCCUCUUCGGCAGAUAGACGUAAACAACGCAUUCCUGAAUGGAGAACUAUCUGAGGAGAUAUUCAUGGAUCAGCCGCCGGGUUUUGAAGUUUCAGGUCCUAAUGAUCAGCGACUGGUAUGCAAGCUAAAUAAAGCUCUAUAUGGGCUGCGUCAGGCUCCAAGGGCCUGGUUUCAUACUCUCAGGCAGUUCUUGGUCAGCAAGCUGGGUUUCCGUGCGUCCAAAGCUGAUCCAUCGUUGUUCAUACGUAACACUGAAAAUAGCCAACUUCUUCACAUGGCCUAUGUUGAUGACAUUGUCAUCACAGGCAAUUCAAAUGAAGCAAUUGAUAAUGUCGUCCAUCAACUACACGAUCAAUUUGCGCUCAAAGACUUGGGUUGCCUUAAUUUCUUUCUUGGUAUUGAGGUACAGUACACUAAUUGCGGGUUGUUCCUCAAUCAGAAGAAAUAUGUACAAGAGAUUCUAUCAAAAACGGGUAUGACAGGUGCAGUUGCCACUCCAACACCUAUGGUUAGUCUUCCUAAACUUACUGCCGCUUCCCCCGAUCAAAAACCUGUUGACGGGCAACUCUAUCGUAGCACUAUUGGUAUGCUUCAAUACCUUUGUGUUACACGACCGGAUUUGUCGUUUUGUGUUAACAAACUCAGCCAGUAUAUGAACUCCCCUAAUGAGUCUCACUGGAAGGUUGUUAAACGAGUUCUUCGCUAUCUGGUGGGCACUUUAGAGCAUGGACUGGUCUUUACACAUGGGCAGUUUCAGUUGGUAUGCUACUCCGAUGCUGACUGGGCGUCUUCUGUUGAAGACAGGCGUUCAACUACAGGCUACGUGGUGUAUUUAGGGUCUAACCUCAUUGCCUGGUGCUCAAAGAAGCAGGCAGUGGUUUCGCGGUCAUCCUCUGAAGCUGAAUAUCGCAGCUUGGCCAAUUGUGUUUCUGAGUUGGUAUGGGUGCAGCAACUGUUGCAGGAAGUAGGGGUGUCACUGGAACAAACCCCAGUGAUCUGGUGUGAUAACACCUCCACUGUGUCUAUGGCCGCAAAUUCGACUCAUCAUGCAAGAGUCAAACACGUGGAGAUAGAUCAGCACUUUGUUCGCGAGAAGGUGCUUGAAGGUCAGCUUCAAGUCAACUAUGUACCCUCGGUAAAUCAAAUCGCCGAUGUACUUACUAAACCUGUUCCUCUCAAGUUUUUUGCUGGUUUCCGACAGGCUCUUCAAGUCUCAACACGAAGCUCAGCUUUCAAAGAUGUUCACAACCAGGAGAAUGAUAGAAUAUAAUGACCGUUAGUCUGUUAGGCAGUUAGUAGUUAUUCUGUUAAAGAAGCUAACAGCUUAACAGCUACUGCUAUAAAUACUGUAUCAAGUCUAUUCUAAAAAAUGACAAAAAAAAUAGAUGUAUAUGCUUUGUUUAAUCUACAAGCUAUACUUUAACACAAUGAAGGGCCAAUCAAGAAAAGAACUUUUGCCUUCACAGAAUGGAACCGAAAAGAAACUUCCGAAUGAGAUUGAAUUACUUAACACAAAGAUGCUAGUAAAUGAGAUAUUUAUGGAGAGCCAGCUAAACUGAAACUGCCAAAAUGAGAUAAUUUACUCUAUAAGAUGUUAGCUAAUUUUAUUUUGCUCGCUUCAACAGGUGAAAAGGGCUUUUGAUACAAGUCAUCCUGAUCUUGUUGAGCUUGAGAAAGCAAAGAAGAAGCUGAAAGUAAGAAUAUGAUUCACAUAGCCUGAAUACAUUCUUUUUAUUGCUUAGUUGUUAUGACCACAGGCUUGAGGUCGAGUUAUGGGGAGAUUUAACAGAAAAAUCAGAUCCGACAGAAGGGUCUUUGCCCGUAUUUCGAUUCCUGGUUUUGCCUAUGGUGAUGGAACUCUAAGGGAGUAGCCUACCCUAGAACUCUAUGAAAGUUGCCUACCUUAAUUUACUGCAAAUUGAACUUGUUUUAUUACUCGGUAAAUUUCCCCUUAAAUAGAGGUUUACAAUAAGAGCAACCCUAAUAUCCUAUCAUACUAGGAAAGUUUUAUUUAAGCUAAAAUGAAAGUUUAGGAAAUAAAAUGAAAUCAGGAUCCCAAACCUCCUUCUUAGUUAUCUCUUUUAUUCUAAUGAUUCUUUCCUUUUGUAACAUCAGUACUGCAAGUUUAACCAUUAUAUCUAAUGCAGGACAGGAACAAGCACUCAUCAAUGCUAUUGUAAGGCUUGCUGAUGCAUCUGAUGGUGAAAGUGGUAAUCAAUAUGUGUAUACAUAGUGAUCUUUUACGUGAUCUUUUCUGUAAAAUACACAUAGUCCAUCGAUGAAUCUUAUUAUUGCAUUUUGUUUUCUUUUGUUCUUUUCCUCCAUUUGAUUUGGGAGGAAAAGCUAGCUGCAAGUUCUUGUUCAACAUGUAUUUAUUUAGUAUUUUGCUAUUAAUCAUGUAAGUGUUUCAGGCUACCGACCAAAUCAUCACAUUCACAAAUGCCGAAUUAUCAUUCUUAACAUAUCGACAUUCAUUCAUACUUUAUUACAAGUAUAUGCACCUAUUCAUCUACUUGGCAAGCAAGAAAUAACUCAUUUAUAAGCAUAAAAUUGUCGAAUGGGCAAGCAACCCAUUAAUUCACUAAACUACUACAUAUACAUACCUCCAACAUAUAUGGUAUCAUAUUCAAAAUGUAAGCAUUUCUUAAGACCAAAACUUCAAAACCAACCCUAAGAUCAACUCAAGAGAUUAGAUAUUUAUCAUUUGUUAUAAACGCAACAGAAACUAUACAAGCUUGCUGAAUCGAGAGUUGAAUUUUAGAUAUUGCCGAUCACCUUAAGACUUCAAGAUCUAUAUUAUUUGCACACAAAAAUAAACAAAUUAUACGCUGAGUAAUAGGGCUCAGUGAUACAAACAUGAUUUAAAUCAAUAAUAAAAUAGAAACAAGGUACCAAAAACACAUAAUAUGAUACACAAAUACUAUCUACAUCAUAGUUGUAUUACUAGUCUCAUAAACUAAACAUCACAAUUUGUGCUACUCAACACGUGAUAUAUCAACAUUUAGUCCUUAUACCAUACAUUUCAAUUACAUGAAUAAUAUAGCAUAACACAAGGGUCAUUGUACUUUUUCAUUUCAUUCUCAAAUCCAUUGAUUUGUUAUACAAAUGAACCGGCUCUCAGGCUCGUGAUAACUAGAUCAUAUGACAUUUCACAUUCCAUUAUUUAUUGUUUAAACAUCAAGAUACAAUUAUACAAUUCAAUAUCCAAUAUCAAUAGCAAAAUAUAUGUUUUCAUAAUCCCUGAUAAUCACACACAGACUCAAGAUGGAAACACGAAUCAUCUAACCAUCACACUAAUAUAUCCGGCACCCAGUGCCUCAUCGAUACAUCUAAAGUAUAAUAUGCAUGUUGAAAAAAUCCGGUUUGAAAACAGUUUUUUCGGACAACAAAAAAAUAAAAAUUUUAAAAAUCGAGUUGGUUUGUAAUAUUCAUAGCAAUAAACUUUUUCUUGAAAUAAUACCCAUGCUUUGAGCGAGACGGAUAUUAAAUGUUCCUGAUUUUCAACCGAACAGUCUUCCCCACUAUUCUCAUAUCACGAAUCGUUUCGAGUGUGGGCUCGAAUACUUACGAAUCAAACACAGAAUCAUAAUUUUUUUUUUUUACUUUCAGUAUGAAAGUAAAUCUUUUUCUCUUAUACAAACCGAUAGAAUUGUUAUUCCUAAAAAAUAAAAUUUAUAUUUAUAAAUAAAUUCUCACUAAUUUUGAAUAGAAUAACAAUAUCUCAAAUUUUUUUUGUUUUAUAUUAGAUUAAUGAGUACACAUCUCAUCCCAAAUUAUAAGGAUUAGUCUAAUAUUGAAAUUGAAAAGUGUUUAAUACCACAAAUUAUUAUUUAAUAUGUUUAGAUAUUAUUAAUAUCACAACUGUAUUAUUAUUUCUUUUUAUAGUAUCGUAUUUUGGUUAUAUAGACAAUAGGUGCCGAUUUUAUUAAAUUGACCAAAUAGGCUACUUUUUUUCAUGAUGUAAAAAAAAUGCCGAUUUUAAAGAGUGUGUGAAAAUGCGUCCAACUAGACAAACAUUCUACACAUUUAGCAGAAAAAUUUGUCCAACUGAGUGAGCUUUCUAUUGACAUGUUAGGAAAAGCACGCCCAAUUGGACACAUUUUCUUUAAAAUUUUUAAAAAAUGCUUCUAAUUAGAUACGAUUUUCUAACAUGACAAUUAAAAGCUCUCACUCUCUCUAAAAGCGACCUAUUUUCCUAAAUCUUAAAAAAAAAAAAACUUAUUUAACCAAUUAAAAAAAAAUUUGAGAUAUUUAACCUAUUUAGCCUCAUAUUUUGUAUUCUUUUCAAUGUCGUGGUUUUGCAUAACUUUUUCUAUAAUCAGAUGACAUUCUCCACCCUGCCGCAAAACAAAUAUAAAUUCAUUGAAUAAAACAUAAUUUAACCGCCUAUGAUGCUGAAAAAAUAUCUUACAACAAUACUAAAAAUGGAGUACUCAAACUGUCCUUCAUUUUCUUGAACGCUUCUUUGCCUGUCCACCACCUGAAUGGUUCUCAACAGCUUCCCUUCCCCGCUUACCAGGAGGAGCUGAUUGGGUGGCAGGCACUCUUUUAGGCGGUCUUCCUGUACUCCUCUUUGCCGGACUCGUUCUUUUUCCGCCAGAACGUGUCCGUGGAGUCGGAGUUCGAUCCUUCUGUUGGUCACCUUUGCUGCUAGUGCUGUUUUUCUUAUGCUCACCUGCAUCUCCUCCUCCUUUACCCUUAUCAGAACUAAUCACACCCUUCAGUGUCUCUGUCAAUGGCUCAUUACCGGAUAAAGAGCUCCUCAUUCUAUUCAAGAAAUUCGCUGCACUUGGCUUUUUUGAACUAGCAGUUUUGCUGUUGCUCUUCUCCUUCUCACCACCCUUGGAUUCCGAGUUAUCAUUUGAGGAUCCACCUUUGCUUGAAAUGGCAGCAUUGGCAUUGGUACCUGAAUUCUUGUUUGUGUUUGUGUUACUCCGAGCCUUUGCAUUUUUGCUUGCUUUUCUUGAACCCGAGGCCGAACUUUCUCUUGUUCUCUUCUUUGCUACAGGACUUUCCUCAAUGGAUUUAUCAUGCUGCUUCCAACCUAGAGCUGGUUUCUCGUUCAUCAAUGAAGCUAGCAGCUGCCUUUUUUUCUCUUGCCCUGAAGAUGAUGUUGACGAUUUGGCAGCAAUCGAGCUGCGUUUGCGACAAGCAAUCAAUGGGACUGAUAGUUUAGGUUUCAUUGACAAGGAGAGUGACAGUUGAGGUUCUGGUUUCAAAGGCAUCUCGGAUUCAAGCACCCUAUUUGGUGAUUGUUCUUUGGGCAAUACACUUGAAUUGCGAAACUGGGCAUCGAUCUCCUUUGAGACAAGUUGUCGAAACUCAAUAGCUGCAGCGUAUUCUGAGGAUUCCUUGCCAAAGAAAAUGAUGGCAUUGGUUAAAAGCAACAGCAAGUCUCUAAAGAACUUGCUUUUACAUCCUGAAUACCAGCCUUCUUCAACCCUCAAGCCAAUAGUCUCUAAGUCAAGAUGUUGCCGGAUCAAGUUUGAGUAAUCCGGUGUUUUCUGCAAUAUUGAAAUUUAACCAUAAAUCACCAUCUUAGCACCUAAUUGUGUUCUUCAGUUGCCUAGCAUUAAAAUUAAUUUUAUAGAAAUUGCAACUAACGGGAGCACAUAGGCUAAAGACAGCAGUUUAAUUCCACAGCACACUCAAGCUUUUGUUUUUAUUUGAAGACCAUUAUGAGUAACAACUAAAGAUUUUGGUUCAUGCAACUACUUCGUAAAAAAGGACAUCCUUCAAACAUCCAACAAUUACCGGAUUUACAAAAAGAAAAUUUCUUAUUUAUAAUUGCCACCUAAAAAUCAAAACCAAAACCAAAACAAAAGACAUGUAUCUAACUCAUACCUUUCCCCAAUCAACUAAAUAAAAACUAAACCUAAGUGGCAUACAUAGGUUGGAGUAGGGCGAAGUCAGAAAUUUUUUCUAAGAGAAUCGGAAUAAAGUUAUAUAUUUUUAUGAGAGAUAAAAUAUAAUUCCACUAUUUUAUUAGCUUAUAUCUUUAUAUUUAUAAUUUUUCAAGAACUAAAUUAAAAUUUUAUUUUUUGGAGGGUUAAAAGUGCAAAUUUACUAUAUACAGACUUAUAGUUUUAUAAAUUUUAAAUAAUCAGAAGUGCAAUCUCCCAUUUUAGGGGUGGCGCCACCGCCCCUGAGCUGGAGACUGGGAAAAAAAAAGAAAGGCUUCUCCAAGUUUCUUACUGGGAUAAGAUAACCUAACCACCAUAUUUUUUUAGAACAAUUUACGUGCCCAAUGGAUUUUUUGUGCCUUCACACAACUCAUUACCCCUAAAAAAAAUAAUGCCAGGUUUACAGCAAGAGAAUGGACCAACUAACAACUCUUCAUCGGGUUAUCAAAUGGACCCUCAGUUCACUGCUUUCCUUCCUCCUAACUCUAAAUAAUGCCAACAUUAAUAUAUAUAUAAGCUUAAGAAUAUGGCCUCUGAAGUUAAGAAUUCUGGGUUCUUUCUACGAAAUAGACAACGUAACUUUAUGUGACAAUUAACAAUAAUAAAAUUUAUAUAAUGAGAUUUAACAAGGUUCAAUAAUAUUAAUCACGACAACACCAAUCUCCGGGCCAACCUUCAACAUUCUUAUUUAUUGAGAAAUAUGCAAGGAUGGAACCAGCCAAUGACGCCUAGAUCAUAAAUAUAAUAUAUGUUUUUUAUUUUUUACCAAAUUUAAUAACACCGACAUCUUUCUACAGUAUAGUAAAAAAAAUAUAAAUAUUAAAAAUAAACCACAAUUCUCCAUUUUUUUAAAUAAAGAAAUGGAUAUUCUUUUAGAUUAAAAAGUAGUUUAAAAAUAAAUAAAUAAAUAAAUUGUAUUUAAAUUAAAAAUACAACUUAAUUUUUUUAUAAUUUUUUAUUAAUUUUCCAACACAUUUGACUCGUGACAUACGACUAAAAAGAACAAAAAAAAAUUCUAGACAAAAAAAUCCCUUAAUUCUCGGAAAUUAUAAAAGAACCCUAAUCCUACGCAUGGGCCAAACCAACAUCUCUGCAGCUCAUGAUAUUAUUCACACGAGAAAGACAAAGAAUGAAAGGGAUUUUUUUGUCAAUUCAAACCACUAAAAAACUAGUACCACCCUGUUAAUCUACGCUUGCAUGCAUCUAUAACAUUCUUUUAAGAAAAAAAAAAAGAAAUCCUCAUUACAGGUAGCUCUAACCUAAACGCGCGAAAAAAAUUCAAUUAUUCCCCCACAUGAUCAAUAGGUUAAAUUCUAAGUUCAAAAUUUAAAGUUUAAUUUUGUUUUUAAGAAUUUAGUUGUAAUAUUUUUCAUAUUUCAAAAUUACAAGCGAGUAGUUAGAGGCCCGAUCCCUUAAAAUAAAAUAUUUUCUUUUAGCUCCUUUAGAGUUUUUGAAAUUUUAAUUAGUAAAAAUAAAAUUAAAUUUUAGUCUCCUUAAAAUAAUAAAAAUUUAAUUUAAUCUUUUAAAAGUUAUAAAUAUAUAAACUAUUAAAAUAAUAAAAUUUAAUUUUUAUUAUCACAAAAAUUAUAAUUUAAUUUCAGCCAAGCCAACUAAUUACAAUGUUAUUUAUUUUAUUUUAUUUUAUUUUUUUUGAAUAAUUGACUGGGGUAUUAUAAUAAAAAGGAAACACAAGAAAAACAGCCCAUAACAUUACUGCACUAGGCUGUAAACAAAAACAUAGGCUGCAAAUUAAACAGCCCAUAAAGCCAACCGACUGAAAUGUUCAGAAUUUAAAAACCUAAUUCAAUAACAAUAAUAAAAGUAGAAGAAACAUAGAAAAACCAACCGUCAUUUCCCCAAUCACAUUAAAUUUAACAAAAAAAAUUAAUAAUAUUUUAACAAUUAUAUCUAACUUUUAAAAUCUAAAAAAUAGAGAUUAAAUUUUUAUAAAUAAAAAUCUAGCGACUAAAUUCAUAUUUGUGAAGAAUAUAAGAAGCUAUGGUAUAUUUUAACCUAAUUAAUAUUAAACUAAGCCACAUCUUAUGUAAAAAAAGUUAUAUAGAAACAAAUGAAGUUUUUUAUUAAAAUGGUUGCCUUAUAUAGGUUCUAUAUAAAAUUAGAAAAGAUAAAAAUUCCACUAAUAAUAUAUUAUUUUUAAUUAAAAAGAUUGUUUAAUAUUUUUCUUUAAUAUCCAGCUAUUUCAAAUUAAUAAAAAAAUCAAUCCCCAAAAUCAGAUCAGCUACGAUCCAUAUAUCUUCAAAAUCACCAAACCUAACUCUGCCGACACGUCAUCGCCUGAUUGGACCAACAAUAUUUAUAGGAAGAUGCUCUAUAUCUAACCCACGUAGAACCAAUCAAAAUCUUCUUGUUAUUUUUUUUCUCAUUAGAAAUAGUAAUUAAAAUAUUUUUUUAAAUUAAACUGAUAUUUUUUAAAAAUAUAUAGAAUAUUUUGUUUUACCUGGCUUUCGAGUCGGCGCUCGAAAAGGGAGCCGAGCUUAUGAGACUGGAAGAUCUCAAGGAACUCAACCAACGGCUGAGAUUCAACGGACACCUUCUUGAUGGAGGGAGAUUGGUCCAAUUCCCCAUUAUCCGGUUCUCCCGGUUCAGCAUUUUUCUUUUCCUUCCCGGACAAGCUAGCCGAGCUCUGUACAUCGCUGCUCUCUCUAUUAGGUUCUUCUCCCUUAGACUCGGCCACUGACUCCGGUGAAUCACCGGUUUCUCUCGGGUCAACUCGCUUCGAGUUUUCAGCUGAUCCCUUCGCCACACUAUCACAGCUCCCGUUGCACGAAGCUUCUCCCUCAGGCUUCACGCUCUGCACCUCUUUCCCCGUUUCACCUCCAUCCGGUUCGACAGGUUCCGGUUCAUCUUUCGCCUCGUCAGGUCCGGUUCCCGGAUCUUCCUCCUUAGGAUCUGUAGAGUUCGACUCGUUUACCGAACGGUUCUCCCGCUCGGACUCUUCCCUGCUGUUAACGGGCCGUCGGGUAAUAUUCUCGGUUUCGUU